rnacentral:misc_RNA from 1 species
GGCCGCACAGGAAACACGGAAACGUAGGGCUCUCUGCAAUCUUACAGAAGAGAAAAUAUCCCUACGAGCAGAGAAAGAUAUAGAACUCGGACCAGAUAUCCCAUGGACUGCCUGUGCCUCGAUUCGAGCUCGGCUCGAGAUCACCGGUCCGGCGACGAAGGCGGACGCCAUGGAAGCCAUCGAUCGAUCCGGAGAUGAGAGAGAAAGUGAGAGAAGUGGAGAGAGA